CCUACGGGGGGCAGCAGUGGGGAAUAUUGGACAAUGGGGGGAACCCUGAUCCUGCCAUGCCGCGUGUGUGAAGAAGGCCCUCGGGUUGUAAAGCACUUUCAGUGAGGAAGAACGCCUGGUGGUUAAUACCCAUCAGGAAAGACAUCACUCACAGAAGAAGCACCGGCUAACUCCGUGCCAGCAGCCGCGGUAAUACGGAGGGUGCGAGCGUUAAUCGGAAUUACUGGGCGUAAAGCGCGCGUAGGUGGCUUGAUAAGCCGGUUGUGAAAGCCCCGGGCUCAACCUGGGAACGGCAUCCGGAACUGUCAAGCUAGAGUGCAGGAGAGGAAGGUAGAAUUCCCGGUGUAGCGGUGAAAUGCGUAGAGAUCGGGAGGAAUACCAGUGGCGAAGGCGGCCUUCUGGACUGACACUGACACUGAGGUGCGAAAGCGUGGGUAGCAAACAGGAUUAGAUACCCCAGUAGUC
rnacentral:rRNA from 1 species